rnacentral:rRNA from 1 species
GACGAACGCUGGCGGCGUGCUUAACACAUGCAAGUCGAGCGGUAAGGCCCUUUCGGGGGUACACGAGCGGCGAACGGGUGAGUAACACGUGGGUGACCUGCCCUUAGCUCUGGGAUAAGCCUGGGAAACUGGGUCUAAUACCGGAUAUGACUCCAUAACGCAUGUUGUGGGGUGGAAAGCCUUGUGCGGCUAGGGAUGGGCCCGCGGCCUAUCAGCUUGUUGGUGGGGUGAUGGCCUACCAAGGCGACGACGGGUAGCCGGCCUGAGAGGGCGACCGGCCACACUGGGACUGAGACACGGCCCAGACUCCUACGGGAGGCAGCAGUGGGGAAUCUUGCGCAAUGGGCGAAAGCCUGACGCAGCGACG